rnacentral:rRNA from 1 species
GGUUGAUCCCGCCGGAGAUCACCGUUAUCUGGGUCCGAUUAAGCCAUGCGAGGCGAGAGUCUUCUGGACUCGCCGUAUCGCUCAGUAACACGUAGCUAACUUACCCUCAGGUGGAGCAUAAUCCCGCGAAAGUGGGGCUAAUACUCCAUAGUUGUUUGAUACUGGAAUGUACUUACAAUCAAAGUUCCGACGCCUGAGGAUAGGGCUGCGGCCUAUCAGGUUGAAGUGAGUCUAAAAUACUCACUUGCCUAUAACGGGUAGAGGCCAUGAGAGUGGAAGCCUCGAGAUGCCUUCUGAGACAUGAAGGCAGGUCCUACGGGACGCAGCAGGCGCGAAACCUUUCCAAUGCAUUAGCGUGUGAGAAGGGGACCCUGAGUGGUUAUACACUGUAUAACCUUUUCUUUUACCUCGAUAGUAAGAGGAAUAAGUGGUGGGCAAUACAGGUGCCAGCCGCCGCGGUAAUACCUGAGCCACGAAUGGUGAUCACGAUUAUUGGGUCUAAAGUGUCCGUAGCCGGUUUAGUUAGUCUCUGGUGAAAUCUGGCAGUUAACUGUCAGGCAUGCUGGAGAUACUGCUAGACUUGAGAUCGGGAGAGGGCAGAGGUAUUCCAUGUGUAGGGGUUAAAUCCUUUAAUCCAUGGAGGACCACCUGUGGCGAAGGCGUCUGCCUAGAACGAGUCUGACGGUGAGGGACGAAAGCGUGGGGAGCAAAUGGGAUUAGAUACCCCAGUAGUCCACGCUGUAAACGAUGCCCGCUUGGUGUGAUGAAUCUUACGAGGAUUUGUUGUGCCGAAGCGAAGGUGAUAAGCGGGCCACCUGGGGACUACGGCCGCAAGGCUAAAACUUAAGGGAAUUGGCGGGGGAGCACACAAGGGGUGGAGGCUGCGGUUCAAUUGGAUUCGACGCCGUAAAUCUCACGAGGGUUGACAGCAGAAUGAAGGUCACUCUAACGGGGUUACCAGACAAGCUGAGAGCUGUUGCAUGGCCAUCGUCAGCUCGUACCUUGAGGCGUGCCGUCAAGUCGGUUAACGAGCGAGACCCACAUCAUCAUUUACGACCAUGUUUUACGAUAUUUUUAAUAUCUAAUGAGCAUGGGUACUAUGAUGAGACCGCUGCUGAAAAAGUAGAGGAAGGUGUGGUUAACGAUAGGUCAGUAUGGCGCGAAUACCCUCGGCUACACGCGGCCUACAAUGGUUGGGACAAUGCGAUGCAACACCGAAAGGUGAAGCUAAUCGCCUAAACCCAACCCUAGUUCGAAUUGAGAGCUGUAACUCGCUCUCAUGAAGACGGAAUCCCUAGUGAGCGAACGUCAUUAUCGUUCGCUGAAUACGUCCCUGCUCUUUGCACACACCGCCUGUCAAGCCAAACGAGUCGGUUCAUGGUGAGGCUUAGCUUUAACUAAGUCGAGCCAUGGGCUAGCGAGUGGGGCUAAGUCAUAACAAGGUA